rnacentral:misc_RNA from 1 species
UCCGAGUUGACCCCGGCAGUCUCCUAUGAGUCCCCACCAUCACGUGCUGGCAACAUAGGACGAGGGUUGCGCUCGUUGCGGGACUUAACCCAACAUCUCACGACACGAGCUGACGACAACCAUGCACCACCUGUAUACGAGUGUCCAAAGAGUCUCACAUCUCUGCAAGAUUCCCGUAUAUGUCAAGCCUUGGUAAGGUUCUUCGCGUUGCAUCGAAUUAAUCCGCAUGCUCCGCCGCUUGUGCGGGCCCCCGUCAAUUCCUUUGAGUUUUAGCCUUGCGGCCGUACUCCCCAGGCGGGGAACUUAAUGCGUUAGCUGCGGCGCAGAAUCCGUGGAAUGGACCCCACACCUAGUUCCCAACGUUUACGGCAUGGACUAC